AUUUGCUGGAUUACUCCACAAAUGUCCUCAACAGCUAGGCAGGGUCACGUUGAAGCCAGGAACUGACUCAAUCUGGGUAUCUUACUUGAGCAGCAGGAGCCCAACCGCUUGAGCCACCAGGGUCUGCACUAGCAGGAAGCUGGAGUUGGGAGAGGAGCUGAGACGUGAACCCAGGCACUCCAGCGUGGGAUGCAGCUGUCUAACUGCUAGCCCUGCCCCUUUUUUUCUUUUGGGGAUUACUUUGACACAGCUGAGAAGAGUCCCACUGCCUUGUGUAUGUGUUUCCUUUACAGUGGUUCUGACUUCUCCUCUAAAUAACUCCUAAUGGGGGCGGGCUCUGUGGCAUAGCAGGUAAGGCAGCUGCCUGAAGUGUCGGCAUCCCGUAUGGGCACCAGUUUGAGUCCCGGCUGCUCCACUUCUGAUACAUUUUCUGCUAUGGCCUGGGAAAUCAGCAGAAGAUGGCCCAAAUGCCUGGGCCCCUGCACCCACGUGGGAGACUCGAAAGAAGCUCCUGGCUCCUGGCUUUGGAUCACUGCAACUUUGGCUGUUGUGGCUAUUUAGGGAGUGAACCAGUGGAUGGAAGACCUCUUUCUGUCUCUCCCUCUGUCUGUGACUCUACUUCUCAAAUAAAUAAAUAAAUAAAAUCUUUAAAAAAAAGAAAGAAAAGAGAAGCUCCAAACAGUAGGAUGGGAGGGGCUGGUAGAGAGAGACCAAGCUGCUGAGGUCUGCCAGCCUCGAGGUGUUUGUGUGUCCACACGUUAUCUCCAAGGUACAAAGGUGGUGGUGACACAUUAGUUACCGUGAAGAUCGGGCAGGCUUCGCGGAGCCCUCGCUGGCUUGUUUUUAUCUAAGCCUGGAUCUUGUCAUGGAAACCUAGCUCUUGUCAUCGGUGAUAAGUAUUUGUUAGAACGAGCUUCCACCCUGUUCUGCCGAGCGUGUACGUGCUGGAAGGCGCUGCAGUUUGGACGUGCCGGCCAGGAGCUGUGGGAGGGCGUCAGUCUGGCCUGCUUCUAGUCCCGAGCACCCUCGCAGAGGACUGUAUCUACAUUUACUCUUUGAAUCCCUGCAGCAACCUUACAAGAAGCUCACGUGUCCCGAAGCUUCGAAUCAGGAGAAGAAAUAAGCACGUGGCAUUGUCCGGAGUCGACCAAGUCCUUUCUAAGUGUUGGCUUUUCUGAGAUACUACAGAGUCGGGUCCAGAAGAUCUCCACAACGAGAAGUAUCCUGCUGACAACCUGGUUAAGGUAGCUCCACAUCUGGCAAUUGUUAUCCAUGGAAUUUUCUCCAGAAAGGUAUGAUGGUUCUCUCAACACAGGAAUAGUUUACACAGAAGACAUUCCAGAAAUAUCUUCCUGCUGCUUCUCCACAUAGUUGUGUUUUUGUGUCAUGAAAAAUUGUGGCUUAUCUGCAGCCAUCUUGAACCACAGCCUACUGUUUGUCACUAGAGUGUGUCUUGAGUACCUAGUCUGACAGCAAAGGCCAAAGGCCAAAAGCCAUGGAAGGGAAUCUUGGUCUGCCAAAAAUGUGCCGUUUUUAGUCUCUUUUCACUCAAAUGCUUGGUGAAUGAUAAAUGUGCUUGCUUUGUUUCUCAAGUGCAGAGUGUUAGAGGGCUUAAUUCAACCAUCUGUGUGUGUAGACAACCCAUCUGUGUGGGUAGACAACAGGGAAUUGAAAUAGGCUAGGAAUGAUUAAAAGUAUUACCUGGAAGUAAUUCUGUCCACUGACAAUGUUCUUCAAGGGAGAGGCGGCCAUUCCAAAAAGUGUCCCCCAUCUCAGCUUCCUGCUUACCACAGCCCUGCCUGCCUCUUUCCAUGCCCUUGCUGGUUGUGGCCAUUGGGGGGCUCAUUUGACAGCAGACUAAGCAAUGAACAUUGUGUGGGCAGAAGCCUGGACAGUUCUGUUUGUACUACAAGGCUUAGCACAGUGCCCAACUCUCAGGUUUUCGUGAAUGUCCAUCAGGUGAGGUACAAAUCAUGCAGAACUCAAAACUCAAAAGUUUGAGGCACAGCUCUUAGGAGGAAUGAACCUGGAAUAUUCUGGAUAUCUGUGAGCUGAUCAAUUAGCAUGAAUUGUUGCCAUGAGAGAAAAAUAAGCACUGGUUUUAAAUAGAGGUGCUGGGAACUCGUGUUCCUGGCAGUCGGUCAUGUGGGUGCCAAUUUGUGGGCUGUGGUUAUAGAAGUAAUGAGGGCUCCAUGAGGGCACCACCUGGGCAGUUGUAUUCAUGGCUUUAUCCCCUGUGCCUGACAGUAACUGCUCAAAAUGUUUGUGGAAUAAAUGAUGGGCUGGCUUUAGACAAGGAACCCUCAGUGGUCGGGCAGACAUUGGGCUGAGGCCACAGGGUGUUGCACAUGUCAACGACUAACAGCUCUUGUGAUUCAAAUCUCUCCAUCAGAAUAAGAGAAAGUCCUGAUUUCAUUUCCAUAAUGUUGCAUAUGGGGGGGAAAUGUUCAUGGAUACUUGCAACAAAAUGAUGGAACUGGAGAUCAUUAUAUUAAGUGAAAUAAACCACAUGUGGAAAAAUACUGCCUGCUCUCUUUCAUAAGUAGGAAUUACAAAUAUAGCUCAUGUGAGCUUAGAACAGAGGCUGUGGAGGGCGGAGGGAAGGAGGACAGAUGGAGGCUGGAAGACAGGCACCCAAACACAGUCUGGUGGAAGUGUCAAAUCCUAGUGCUCCACAGCACCGUGGUGGACCACAGUUCCCACUAGUGCAUUAUAUGCUGUGUGAAGGCUUGGAGGAGAGGAGCUGGUGUGCUCCACACACAAAGAAAAGACAAGGAAAUGGAAAGGCUGGCUGCCUGGUUUUGCUGUGGGCUAGGGUGUAGUAAUUUUUACUCCAGGCUUGUGCCUCAUAAUUGACAAGCAUUCUGAGUGUAGACACAUAUAAGGUGCACAAGUGAUACCAAAAAUUUGUUCAACAGGUGAGAAAGUGAACACCUAUACAUGUGUGAAUGUAGGUGGCUCUACAUGGAUAAUUAUCUGUUAUGAGUGGACAGUGGGCCAGAGAAUUGCUUGAAGGAAGGAUGGUGGGGUAGGGGAGAGAGAGAGAUUGUACCUGUGCAGCAUCUCCAGGCACAGUCUGUGGGGAAAGAGAGAGAGAGAGAGAGAGAGAGAGAGAGAGAGCGAGCCAGAGAGCUCCUCCUCUGCUCUUGGCCUCUUUUAUGAGAUAGGAGGUGAUUCUCCUAAAGAUCUGAAGCCACUUGGGGGUUAUAUGGCCCUUCUACAAGUUCCACAUGGAACUCUAUACUGUAUUUUCAUGGCAUCCCUCCCCCUUAGGUCCUGGAUGAAGCAGAUGCAUAUUGGGAAAGGGGGUGUUUGGAUGGACAAGUAUGAGGAUAGAAUUACAAAUGGGAGCUUGUGACUUCCAGCUCAGCAGACCUAAGCUAACUAACUACCUGCCUGUUUAUCCCACAUCAACUUGAUUGGCUUGUGCUGUACUUAUGUGUUGAGAUAUUGAAGGGUACGCCAUAAAAAUGUAACAGUGUUGCAUGUUAAUAAAUAAAAAGCAAGCGCUGUAAAACUAAAACAAGUGUUCAUGAGAAAUAAAUUUAAAGAUAAAUUUAUAUUAGUGCAAUGAUGUUUUUGGUUAAGACACCCACCUCUCCUAUCAAAGUGCCUAGAUUUGAGUCCCGGUUUCACUCCCAAUUCCAACUUUCUGCUAAUGUACACCAAAUGCGGAGCUGGGAGACCGUCAGUGAUGGUUCAAGUAGUCAGGUCCUUGCCACCUACAUAAGAGACCUGGACUGCAGUCCCAGCUCCUUGCUUCAUGCUGGUUGCAAGCACUUGGGGAGUAAACUGGUAGUUAGGAGUGCUUGCUCUCUCUCUCUCUCAGAUAAAAAAGAACUUUUAAAGAAAUUUAAAUAUAAAUAAAUGUAAGCCCCAAACUAUCCUUAGACUUUGCCUUCCACAGAGGCCUGCUUCUGUCCUAUAUGAGCAAUUGGGAUUUCCUAAGUUUAGAGCCACUCACAAACAGUGACUAUACCUCGCCCAGUGAGUGUAUUCCCUGUGAGGUUUGUUCAUGCUAUUCGUCCCCUCUUAAAGCAUCAUGAGCCUCAGAAAAUUUCUCUGUGUGUGGCAACAACCCAUGUGAUUCAUGAAAUCAUACAAAAGUUCUUCUAAAAGUUCAUGAAGUUGAAAUCCAUGCACCAUUUUUCUUCUUUUUUUUAUAUUAGCACAAACCCAUUUAUUGACAACUCAGAGGGAUGAUCCUAAUUAAACCAACACUUUUGGGAUAGUUGGAAGUGAAAAGUUUGUGAUAACAAUAAUUUAAUAUAUUCAUGAAAAAAAAAGCAGUAUGGAAAUUUACUAAUUGAAUUGAGCUUGUUAAUUGUUGCAGCUAAUUCCUGUCCAAAACAAUGACAGAACUUUUGUCUGGCUUUCUCAUAGACCUGAUGACAGGUGGCUUUGUUCAUGAAACAAUCCAUCAUUAGUUUCCCAUCUUGCAGUUUCCUUGUGAAUGCAUGAAUCAUUUUCUCAUAACACAUUUUCCAUGAAACUUUAAAAAUAAAUACAUCUUUUUAAAACAUGUAUUUAUUUAUUUGAAAGGCAGAGUUAGAGAGAGAGAGAGAUCUUCCAUCCACUGGUUCAUUCCCCAAGUGACCGCAACAGCUGGGGCUGGGCCAGGCUUAAGCCAGGAGGCAGGAGCUUCGUCAGGGUCUCCCACAUGGGUGACAGGGACUCAAGAACUUGGGCCGUCUUCCGCUUCUUUCCUGGAUACAUUAUCAGGGAGCUGGAUCUGAAAUACAGCAGCCAGGACUGGAACCAGCACCCAUACUGGAUGCCAGCAUCACAUACAAUAACUUCAACCACAUACAAUGCUGACCCCUUCCAUGAACUUUCUGAAGACCCCCUUAUGCACAGAGGAUAGUUUCAACUGCUAGGCCCAAUGCUUAUCCCCAAGCACAUUUUAUAAAGUUCUUGAGGAAGCUGGCUUGAUCACAGCAGAGAUCUGUAGGUCUCUUGGUGCCAAAGAUUUGAUGCUGGUAUUGUCAGGUGAGGCUUCAAAGCUCCAAGGCUGAUAGGGUACCUCCUUGUUGCAGCCUAAGCUCAUAGGCUUUGAUAAAGCAGGUUAGAGAGUCACCCUGCCUUGUCAAAGUCUCUUCAAGUGUGAAACUCGGGUUAUAUUUGGGAUAAUUGUCAAGUCUAGGAGUUGAGGCCAGUAACUCCCAUUUGGGGGUCAAAUGAGGUUUGAUGUAACAUUUCUAAGGAAUGGGGAAGUUCAUUCCCAGUUCUCACACAUGGGAUCUGAUAAGAUGUCACACAGUGGAGGGAAGGAGAAAUACAUUCUAAAACAAAAACAUGAUGGAGCAAACUAUGUCAGUGCCUGGAAUCAUUUCAAAGCUAUGUAACAUUGGGCUGGGUGCCGUGGCGCAGCAGAUUAAAGCCGUGGCUUACAACACUAACAUCCCAAAUGAGCACUGGUUCGAGUCCUGGCUGCUCUGCUUCUAAUCCAACUCCCUGCUGAUGGUGCCUGGGAAGCAGCAGAAGACAGCUCAAGUGCUUGGGCCCCAGCACCCUCGUGGGAGACCCAGAAGAAGUUCCUUGCUCCUGGCUUUGGUCUGGCCUAGCCCCAGUUAUUGCGGCCAUUUGGGGAGUAAACCAUCGUGGAUGAAAGACCUCUCUUUGUCUUUACUUCUCUCUGGAACUCUGCCUUUCAAAUCAAUAAAAACAAAUCUUUUAAAGAAAGCUAUGUAACACAUAAGGAAAGAUUUUUUUCCAGACUUGUCAAUCAUAUGAAUUCUAAAGUGAGUAAAAAUAUAUUUUCUUUUUUUAUGGUUUUUUUUUUUUGACUUUUUAAUAUUUUUUUAUUUAGUAAAUAUAAAUUUCCAAAGUACAGUUUAUGGAUUACAAUGGCUCCCCCCCCCCCAUAAUUUCCCUCCCACUCGCACCCCUCCCAUCUCCUGCUCCCUCUCCCAUUCCAUUCACAUCAAGAUUCAUUUUCAAUUAUCUUUAUAUACAGAAGAUCGAUUCUCAAGUAAAGAAGUAUAUUUAUUAUAUAAAAGCAUAUAAUAGCUAAAAAUAAAAAUGAAUAUAAUUUUGCCACUUAGAGAUACUGUCAAUUUUUUGGAGUAUAUUUCAUCCUCUCUCUUCCUGUUAGGAUGCUGUGUUUAAUUUUCCACUCAGUAGUAUUGUGUAUUUCAUGUUAUUAGGUGUUUUCUAUAUGGUACUAUCAAAGAUAAUGCUUCAGUGAGCAUCAUCUUUAUACUUUAUAUACAAAUCCUUAUUUGUAUUUUCAAUUGUUUAAAAAAAAUGAACCGAAGUGGACGUUGUAGGUCAAAGGUUAUGACACACUUCGCAAAGUUGAGGGGAAGCCUGUUCUGUGUAGAACUGACUUUCCCACUAUCAGCAAUUAACAACAGCAGCAACAACAAGCAAGAUGGUGGCUAAGGUGCUCCAAGGAUCGUUUCCCUACAAAGAUGCCAACUUGAACGGCUAAUCACAUACAAGCCACCUUUAUGAGAGCUAAAGGAGCCAGACCAGAGAACAACGUGUCUUCAAAAAAAAGAUGCAUUGAAGCCGGAAGGAAAGAGUUGCAGUGUCACCCUCACCCGGCUCCAAGCAGGGCAGCUCUGCAGGAGGGAGAGGGAAUUAAGUCCAGACCUUUAACCUGAAACCCAGUACCAGGCCUGCCAGUGUACAACCCAGCACCGCAGGCCCUGUCACUACCUGUAGACCAAACUUUGGACCUGCCUCAGCCACACGGUGAAGGCACUGCAUCCAUCAUCUUUUCCUCAACAUUUAGCAGACAGUAGAGCAAGAUUCCAGCAACCGGACAGCAGGGUGGGGAACUCAAUGCAGAACUUCACCUUGGAGCCCAACGUCAGCACAUCCGAAGUAUGACUCAGCACCAAAUAAAGCCCAAAGUUCUCUGUUCCCAGGCUAACUCUUGCAGGCAGAACCUCUAGUGGUUCAUUCUGAACUGCAUGCCAGCUGUGGAUGUGGGGUGCACCUGGAAUUGGGGAACCCUUUGGUGUUGAAAUAGCAGCAAUGUGCUAAUAACUGGCCUGCAGUAGACCUGAGCGUGGGACGCCACCAGUGCCGAAAUCCUGGAAAUGUCCGUAGCCACUGAGAAAAUCAACAAGACUGCUUAGAAUUUCUGGAAGCAGGUACAAACAAAGCCAGAUUAUGAAAACUGGGAAAAAAUUCUUAAUCUUUCAACUUGUGCAUGAUAUUGUACACCAAUAAGCAUCAAAAUUUUCUGACAGCCAUGACCUCACCUAAUGUACAGAAUGAAGUGCCAGAAACCAAACAGAUAGCAACUGAUAAAGGCAAAUCUUCAGGUGUAAAAUUCAAACUAGCUGUUUGAGGAGAUUCACGGAGAUGCAGGAAAACACAGAAACUUAGUGGACAGAUAGAAAUAAAUAAAAGAAGGAAAUCCUUGUGUUGAAAAGUAUGUUAAGGAACAUUAAAAACGUGAUAGAAUACACCAGUAGCAGACUAGAUCAAACAGAAGUAACAAUUAGUGAGCUUUAAGGCAGGCUAGUUGAAAGUAUGCAGAGGAAGAAAAAAACAUGAAGAGGAAUGUAAAAUGCUCACAGGGACUUUGGGACAGCAUUAAAAGAGCAAAUAUUGAAGUAACUAGGGUUCAAGCGGAGCUUGUGAAGGCCAAAGGUAUAGAAACCAAAGAGAUAAUAACAAAAUUUGCCAAGCACAGGGCAAGUUGCAGCUGUCCAGAUACAGGGAAGUCAGGGGUCACCAGUCUGAUUCAACACAAUCAAGUCAAUCCCAAGUAGUAUUAAUCAAAGGUUCCAAGGUUAAAGAUAGAGGCUUCUCAAUGUUGCAGAAGGAAGGGAAGUACACAUAAAGGUGUCAGUUCACUGGACUGCACACUUUCUGGCUGGAACCUUGUGCAGUAAGAGAGAGUGAGAUAAGACUUUCAGUAUCUGAAGGGAAAAACCUGCCAACCAGCUAAGUUAUCGUUUGGACCUGAAGGAGAGAUAAAGACAUUUCUAGACAAACAAGAGCUAGACUUGUCCUACAAGAUAUGCUAAAGGGAGUUCUUCAAAUAGCAGGUAGGAGAUGCUGACAAGUAAAAAGAAAACAUCGGAAGAUAGAAAACUUGCUGAUUAGAGAGCCUGGAAAGAAGUCCACUCAUCUCCAAUCCUGACCUAAGACAGGUGGUGGAGUUUUUCGAACCGGGGGCUGAGGUGUAAGGCCCGGUCAAGGGCAGAAGGCUGGUGUCUCAGCUCCAGCAGUCUGGCAGAGCGGGUGAAAACCCCUUGCCUUUGCCUUUUGUUCUAUUCAGGCCCUCAGUGGAUUGGGUGAUGCCCACUCUCACUGGAGAAAACCAUGGGCUUUACUCAGCUCACUGAUUCAAAUGCUAAUCUCAUGUGAAACUGCCUCCCCCACCCCCAACAAUGUUUAAUCUAGGCACCUGCUGGCCUAAGCUGACCCUACAAAGAACCAUCCUGCACAGGAUUGCAAUCAUCAGUUCCUUUGGAAUAUACUCUGUGCAUAAUGCGUGCACAGCAUGCAAAUUGCCAAGUUCAGAAAGGAAGCCUCAGGGGAGUGUGUUUCCAAGAUCUAAGACUUUCAGAAACCAAGUAAACCACACACAGCUUGUGGGAGUUAGGCAACUCUGCAAGCCAGGCUGGGUAGACUGCCAAGAUGACGGGCCAUCUGACUAUGUUUCUAGGGACAAUAAGGCACCCUAUUUGGCACCAGUUUUGGGAAAAGUGGAAGAAGUACAGCGCAGCCAGCUGAAAGCCUUCGCCUCAUUGGAAUUCAGCUGGGCCCGGAGGACAUCUGCCAUCUGGGCUGUUUUGUUCUCUGCUUGUUCCUGUGCCUGGGGAAGAGCCUGGAACACUGUGGGUUUCACAACACCACACUCUCCCCGGGCAUGACUUGAGACAGCAUCGUAUGUGUGGUCCAUGCUGGGAGGGUGCUUGGAGGAAUAUAAAAACUGUCUGGAGGGUAGUUAUCAAUCAGCUGCUGUGUCAAGACCAGUUGCAAACAACAAAACCCAUCAGUCUAGAUUAAGAUGAUAAAAAGACUUAUUGGAAGAAUAUUACAAAACCUACAGAAUUGCUACAUGGCUCUAAAUCCACAUAUACUGGAAUAAUACCCAACUAGGCUGUGGGUUUGCUCCAGCCUCCCUGGGCACUUUUGCUGGGCAUCCUCACCUGGAUUGGCUGCCUAACGCUGCUCCCCUGCCUCCCUGAUCACAAGGCAUAUUUGAUGUGCUUCUUGGGAGAUUGGUCCCCUCAACUGUUACUUUGAAAUUGGCCAGCUUUAUUAAUGCUGAGGGGCCCCGCUGUCUAUCCAGAUAACAAUUCUGAAUAUCAGCUUGAAUAAAGCAGGCAACAUGGUAAGGUUUUUAGCAUUUAUUCAGUGAGAGAAAUACACAGGGAAGCGAGAGCUUUAUUUAGGCAGAAAGAAGUCUAGAAAUGUUAAGCUGGGUCCAUACCAGGCAGAGAGCAGGCCAGGAGCCAUCUUCUACUGCUAUCCCAGGCCAUAGCAGAGAGCUGGAUCAGAAGAGGAGCAGCCGGGACCAGAACUGGCACCCAUAUGGGAUGCCAGUGCUUCAGGCUUUAACCCCUUGCACCACAGCGCUGGCCCCCUUUCUCUUAAGUUUAUAGAUUGCUAUAGUCAAAGCCAAUGCACUGUUUUCAUAUUCAGAUCAAUGACCAUUAUCUUUUCUGUCUUUGGUAAACGGAGUUAGAGUGAUAAUGAGAGGUGAGUUAGGAAUAAGAAUGUGCCCAGAGGCUUCCUGCUAAUGUGCACCUUGGAAGGUAGCAAAUGAUGGCUCAGGUAAUUGGAACCCUGUCACCCACGUAGGAGAUCCAGAUUGAAUUCUCAGUUCCUGGCAUUGGUAUGACUCAGGCUUGCCUGUUGUGGACAUGAGGAGAGAACCAAUGGAUGGGAGAUCUCUGCCUGCCCAUAUGGGAUGCCAGAGCGUCAGGCCAGGGCUUUAACCCACUGUGCCACAGCACCGCUCCCCCCCCAUGUUUCUUUUAACAGAUUAAUUCCCUUAUCAGAAUCUCCCCAGUGCCUCUAAUUCCUAAAACGAGCAGCAAGUAGCCAGAAUGACCGAUUAUGUGGCUUUCCUGGAAAACUGAUUGAUCACUGAGUUUAAGAUCCACCUUCAGAAUCCUGUACACUGCCACAUAGAGAAAUGUAAAAUUUUUAUUUUCAAUUUAUUGGCUGGAUUAAGCACCUCAGCAUUCCUUACUGAGUACGUGAUAAAAUUCACAUGUAAUAUAAAUAUAAAGUGUAUUAUACAUACCUUGUCCUCAAACAUGUUAAAAAUUCAUUGAAACAAUUCUCAUUUUGUAAGAUUUAGCAGUUUGGACGGAGCCUGUCAAUAUUAUGCAAUUUCUAUUUCUAUUUCCUGGUGCCCUGCCCCCAGCACACACUCCGCUCCCAUUUUACUGUUGGCUGAUGGUCACCGUGACUGGUUGAGGUUUGAGGAGGACGGUCCCCACGGGCCACCCCUGGAUUGCUGGGGACUGUGAUUCAUCCUCAUUGGAGAAUAUGCUCUCUUCUCCCCAGCCCCGAGAAUCACUAGUGUGGGAUAUAGAAAAAUAGGCAUGGAACAAAUUUCCGUAGUAAACCAUGUUAGUAACAUCCAGUUUUUUCCAAUAGCGUGAGUAUAUCCUUUGCUGGCAGCAGAGGGCUUCCUGAGGAGUACAGAGUUUCCCUUCAGGAGAAGGGAAAAGUGCGGUGUGCACGGUGAGGAAUGAAGCUACUAAGAGAAGCCACAGCUGUCCUGCAGCUUCUUGGCUGUGUGUGCUCAAUCCUUGGUUCAAGUUCUGCUGUUUGGCGAAUCCCUGAACACUGUGUGACAGCCAUCUGAGUAUUUGAAGCUGUUUAUUGUAUUUUCAGGUUGAGGCAUUUGGAUCUGGCUGAAGAGCCCAUGAGAGUAUUUCAUGCAUGGAAAUCAAGACACUCUGGCAAAAACAAAGAGGACCUAAAUGAAAGAUCUCUGUGAGUGAGAUCCCAGUGGAAAGAAUGGGGACAUCGAAGAAGGAGCUUGUUUUUUCUCAACAAUCAAAAUGCAAAGUUCAUCACAAUGGAGCUGUUGUUUUGGUUAUGCAUAAUGUGUAUCCCUCCAAAAGCAGAAGAAAAACAGAAAAAGUACCCUCACUAAAGUUUCCCCAUCACAUCUUUCAAGCUCAUCCCACAAAGGUGCCACGGGAGACUCAGGAAAAUACUUAGAAAGCUGCCCGAUGAGGUAUUUAUGCAAAAAGAGUAGUUCUGGAGUAAAGAACACAUUUUAUAAGAUAUUCAUCUAUUUUCUCAAGAGAUCAGAAAAGGAAAUCACACACAUUGCAUUUCAUUUUUUUAAAAUUAAAAAAAAUUUUUUUGACAGGUAGAGCUAGACACAGAGAGAGACAGAGAGAAAGGUUUUCUUUUUCCGUGGGUUCACCCCCAAAUGGUCGCUGUGCUGAUCUGAAGCCAGGAGCCAGGUGCUUCCUCCUGGUCUCACAUGCGGAUGCAGGACCCAAGGACCUGGGCCAUCCUCCACUACCUUCCUGGGCCACAGCAGAGAGCUGGACCGGAAGAGGAGCAACUGGGACAGAAUCCGGUGCCCCAACCGGGACUAGAACCCGCUGUGCUGGCGCUGCAGGCGGAGGAUUAGCCAAGUGAGCUGCGGUGCCGGCCACAUUUUAUUAUUUUCUAAAAGAAGCCUAUGCCCCUUUAGAAAAAUGAAAUGAGGGGGGACAGCCCACUGUGGGGAGUUUCAUUGGAAGAGUCCCCCUGCCAGAAACAGCCCUGAAAGUUUGCCUCUGCCUUCCAGGAGAGAGAAGCCUGCAUUUCCUCAUCGUGGCGGGGGUGGGGAAGGUAGGGGAUUGAGGUGGUGGUCUUUGGGAUGGGUCAGGUGGCAGCAAAGACAAGCGCUGCUCAGUCCCACAACUGUGGACCGGAGGGACUUUGUGGCAUCAGAUGUUUGGGUAGAGGGAGGGGGCAGAGCACUGUCACCUACACCCUCAACAAAGACACUGGAUGUGUCAGGCUUAGGGAAAGUCCCUGACCUGCUGCAUAGGUGCAGGGUUUCCCAUGUUCUCUCCUCAGCAACCCAAAGGAAGAUGAAAGUGGGCAAUGGCCCAGUGGAUUCCCACUGUCCUGGCUGCUGGCUCGGCAUUGGCCCACAAUGGCCGCAUCGAGAGGAUCUGGGAUCUCCACAGCCUCCUCCGGCUCCCCCACCAUCAGACCCCACCCAAGUGGAUGUUUUUGCUUCAAAACUGCCAUCCUUUUGGAUGGGAAAUAAUAUUCCUUGACAGGUUUCUCUUUGGAUCUCUCUGUUCAACGUCUGAUUUUUCAGGCAAAGAUGACAGGGUUUCUUGGCUACGUGACACCGUGUGGUUGUCUACAUUCAGCUCUCGAAAUCUUGUGGUCUUAAUUCCUGGCUGGUUGAUGCUCUCGGGUGAUGGACAGGCCGGCCGUCCCUUCUUCCUGUGAAAUGGCGCUGUUGCAAAACAGCCGGCCGUCCUUACCCCUUGGGCUCACUUCCUCCAUCACAUGUACCCUAUCUCCUACUCUCACCCAAAUAAGGCCCACUAGCAGGUUGCCCCUUCUCCUGGCAAAUUUGCAUAAUGAUUCACUGCCUUUUUUCCUAGAACCGAAUCACGGCAAUGAUUUUCUCAAGUCAGCGUCCCAUGAUUCUCUUGAGUCUAUCAUACACACUCACUACUAAGUUUGCCCUCUAUUGCUUCAUGUGAAACACGAGCAGACACAGAGAAAGGACACACUUUUCAACAGAGAACUGGAGGGGCUGGGGGCUGAGUGCACACAAGUCCAGCUGAGAAGACACCUGCACAACCAGCUUGUACUAUGCCCUUAUUAUCCAUUAUAAUAGUGCUAGGAAAUAUUAUCAUUGUUUUAAUGGAACCUAAAGUGUAAUCGCAUUAGCUUAUUAGGCAACUAGUAGUAAUGAUAAGCAAUGCUAAGUGUCUUUGACUUUAUGUAUGUAUUAUGUUAGAUGUUGAGUUAAGUAAUCCAGUAACUACAUUAAGUUGAUUACACUCCCCCUUCCCUCCACCUGGCCAAAUGUGACCCAACCUUGACCCAGGUCCAGGAAUGUAAAAGGGAGGUAUAAAGCUUGAGAUAACAACCAGCCCCUACCCUGGAGUCCGCAGCAGGUGUGGGGACUUAUUAGAAGUGUCAACUUGAUCUAUAGCAUUCCCCUAAAGCCUGCUUGUACAUGAUAAGAAAAGCUCUGUAAGAAUUGGGCUCGGGGCUUCUCGGGGGCUUCCUCUCCUGGAGGCACUGAGGGGCCCGGGUUCGAACUCGUAAUAAAAACGACCCUGCUAAUUGGCUUCAACUUUGGUCUCUGGUGGUGUGAUUUUCGGGGGGACCAUGGACUGCGGGCAUAACACAGCCAUCCAAGCCCCUACCAGAGCAAGAAGAGAAAUAUAUAUAUAAAAAUAUAAACAUAUAUAAAUAUAUAUUUGUAAAUUAUAUAUAUAAUAUAUAUAAAUAUAUUGCAGAGCAAGUUCCACAAGUCAGAAUUUGUCCCUGAAGAAGGUUAAACCUUAAACGCCUGCUUCAAAAAACCAAAACAAAAUAACCCAGAAAAAAAGAAAAAGAAAAAACCAAAACCAAUAACAAAGAGUGAAUGAAAAAAGAAAGAAGAAGAAAACCAAAAGACCUCUGAGCCUAAGGGUUUAAAAAUUAGAGGCAUAGUCUUUUCUCUGCUUUCUAUAUUUAUAUGAAAAUAAUUCAUGCGUCAUGCUAAAUAAAUUAUCUAACUGUGCAAGAAUUUCGUUUUUUUUGAAUAAAAGUUUGUUUUCCUGAUUUUUUUUCUUUUUUUUUCUUCAAAGGAGUCCAUGCAUUGUGGAUCAGAAAUUUCCGGCCGGCGCCGCGGCUCACUAGGCUAAUCCUCCGCCUAGCGGCGCCGGCACACCGGGUUCUAGUCCCGGUCGGGGCGCCGGAUUCUGUCCCGGUUGCCCCUCUUCCAGGCCAGCUCUCUGCUAUGGCCAGGGAGUGCAGUGGAGGAUGGCCCAGGUGCUUGGGCCCUGCACCCCAUGGGAGACCAGGAAAAGCACCUGGCUCCUGGCUCCUGCCAUCGGAUCAGCGCGGUGCGCCGGCCGCAGCGCGCCGACCGCGGCGGCCAUUGGAGGGUGAACCAAUGGCAAAGGAAGACCUUUCUCUCUGUCUCUCUCUCUCACUGUCCACUCUGCCUGUCAAAAAAAAAAAAAAAAAAAAAAAAAAAAAAAUUUCCGCGACUACACUGACUGAAAGUGGAAACCACUGAUUUUCGUGAAGAUGAACUUUUUUUUUUUUUUUUUCUGAUCAAGGUCCCACUUUAUUGAAGGAGGCAGCUUAUAUAGUACAAGGCAAGGAUUGUAACAGUUGAGGGCAAGCAGGGGUCAUUUUACAACAUAGUUAGAAGGAAUGGUUUUACAGGAGUUUUAAAUCAACAUCAGUUUGACAAGGGGAGUUACCGUGGGGUUUUACAGCCACCAAAUACGCUUAUCAAGAUACAAGAGGUUGUGAGAUCAGAGGGCACUGAAGCCAGAAGGCCAAGCACCAACCAUAUCAGUGAUCUGUACAAACGGAGCUUUCUAGUGAUUUGUAGUGAAAGUUAAUCUAAACAGAGGCCUAUACAGGGAAACCAACACAGUGGCUCCCAACAGUCUCCUUCCCUCCCCAAAGCCUAUACCCAUCUUAAGACUAUUAUUGAGGAACUGUGCUGCUCUGUUUUCUUUCAAAGCAGUUUCUUUGAAAUUGGCUAGAAAGGAGUUCAGUAUGGACAAUUUGGCACAUUAGUGGGGAAGGUUAGAUGAAGAAUAAUCUAUAAAAAAGUGAGGUCAAAGGAAAUCCAUGCCAAUAGAAAGCCUGAGUAAAAAUUUGUAACCAAUAACAGAAUUAUUUUUUAAAAAAUACUAGUCUGUACAUGAGAAAGCAAUUUCUCUUCCACACCCAUUAUCUAAUUCCAAGUUAGUUUGCAAACUCCAUUUUGAGGGCAGAAUGGGAGUUACUUUAUUUGAGUUGUUUUUUUGCCACUUUUUUGUUUUGUUGUCUGUCAAUGCGUCUUCACUCUUUUAAAAAAAUACACCACAAUACAAAUGGCAGCUUCUGCAGCUUUGUUCUGUUUUGUUUUGCCCACUUGGCUCAAAUCGUGUUGACAAAGAGCUCUACCAUUAUUUCCUUAACAGCUCCUGUGACUUCGUGACCGCCCGAGACUGCUCCUCCCGCGGGCACUUGAGAAGACACGACUGGCUUUCUGCAAGUUUUCUUCUCACUCUCACUCUGCGUGUUGCCUGUUGUGUGUUGUGUUGUGUGUGUGCACACAGGGCCCUCCUUCAGGCUCAUGGCUUUUGGAACUUGUUCUUAAUUGACUCUAGAGUAGAAUUCGAGGAUUAGCAGCUUCACUACAAAUGCACCGGUUUCCUCUCUCAGUCGCUGACACCUGACGGAUCUGAACGGUUCCUUCAGGGUCCACCAGGCGAGCUGCCACCAGGCUUCAGGGUCACGAGGCGCAGAAGAGCAGAGGCCAAGGCCCCGUGCGCACUGCGUGGCAACGCCAAGGGCCCUCCUGGCACAACGGCAUGCCCAGGGCCACGGGUACAGGUCGUCCUUCUUCCUAAUUGCGUUCCUUUCUGCUACUCAGUGAGCCCAGCUGGGUGUGCGACCUGACUCUUUAAACCUGAGGGUGGGCCUGCACGCCGGUCGCUUUGCACAUGUGCUUUCUGCGUGCCGCGUGUGUAAAUCCCGCGGCAUCGCUGUAGACACCCCUGGGAAUUCAGCCACACGUUUCCGACAAACUGGAGGAAGCAAUGGUAAUUUUCGCUUUUUUGGUUUUGCCUUCAGAUGAUGAAAAGCUUUUGUAAAACGGCUGAGUGUCAACACGAGUUCUACGGCUUCAAUCUCCAUUAAAAAUAAAAUCCUUAAGGGUCCAAAAUAAAGGAAAGGGGGGCCAAAAAAAAAAAAAAAAAAAAAAGCAGGUGUCAUCCCCCGCCGCCUCCAUAGACCGCUUCCAAUCCAGAGGAGCGGCAUAGAGUAACCUUGCACUGGCCACAAGGAGGCGCUGUUCCCCCAAGGAUCAGCCGACAGAGGUCUUGAGCAGCUCCUGUUGGCGGCUGGUGGGAGCCUGCUAAGUGCCAGCAUCUUUGAUAGAAACAGGACUGCGCCCCGAGUAACUUCUCUUGUAACCCCUACCUUGUCAUUCGGGAAUACAUCGUGGGGGGCUGGCAUUUGGGAAGUGAAUCAGAGGAUGGGAGAGCUUCCUCUUUGUAAUUCAAAUACAUAAUGAGUAAAAAUUAAAAAUAGAAGAAGAAAGGCAUCUUGGACAACACCACUCUGUCAGCAGCAGCUCAUGUAUACUAUUGGUGGUUAUUGGGAUUGUUUACUGUCUCUGGCAACUGUAAACAUACUUGUGGUGGUCAUGUUGGUCCCGACAUUGCUGGAGGCUGGGCUGGUUCUAACCCAGUCUUUCCCUGACUACAGGACAGCCCUGUGCUCCUCUCGGCAGGCGGGCUGACUUACCUGGCUGGGAGAGUGGGCAGUGGGUCGCUGGGAGUGUGAAGCUCUGUCUCCCGUUGGCUCUGCCCUGGACUGGCCUGCAUGCGGGUUAAGUCUUCUCUCGUUCUUCCUGGUGAUUAACUUCUCGGGGUGCAAUUGUCUGCAGUUCUUGUAACACUUCUGAAGGUAAGGGUGCUGUUUUCCUUUUCCAUGUUCACGUGUUACUUGUUCUACUUCUGCUUUCUUGUGUUUGUAAACUCACCUGGGAAGGCCUGGACAUGUCAGGUGCUUGGUCUAUGGCUGACAAAGUCCAUGUUGGCCCAGAAUCAGAAGAUUCUAUGGAGAUGAUCUCUCAGCAGUCUUGUUACUCCCAUGUGUUUUAUUCACCUGAUUCAGAACUCGGAAGAGGUAUUACUUCAAGCCUUCAAAGCAACAACGUGGGCUCCGGAAGUAGAGGAAUCAGUUCCGAAUCCCCAUCCUUUCGUUCAUUUUCUUACUUUUACGACCUUCGGCAAAUUAUCUUUCUGAGCUGCAGUUUACUUAGUUUGCAUGCUCUCUCCAAAGCUCAAGGAAUUCAAUUACUAUCAUGAGGUUAAGAGGUGGGACCUUUCAGAAGUGGUUAGGUCACGAUGACUCCAUCUUCCUGAAUGGACUGAUGUGAUGGUGGGAGGGGGUUAUUUCUUGUGACUGCAGCAGUGGACUAGUUGUGGCUGAGGGGAAUGGGUUAAUUGUGACUGAUGGAAUGAGUUAAUCUUUUUUUUUUUUUAAAAGAUUUAUUUAUUUAUUUGAAAGUCAGAGUUAGAGAGAGAAGGAGAAGCAGAGAGAGAUAGAGAGAGAUAGAGAUAGAGAGGUCUUCCAUCCGCUGAUUCAUUCCCCAAUUGGCUGCAAAGGCUGGAGCUGUGCAGAUCCAGAGCCAGGAACCAGGAGCGUCUUCUGGGCCUCCCACACAGGUGCAGGGGCCCAAGGACCUGGGCCAUCCUCCACUGCUUUCCCAGGCCAGAGCAGAGAGCUGGAUUGGAAGUGGAGCAGCCAGGACUCGAACCACCAUCCAUAUGGGAAGCCAGCACUGCAGGCGGUGGCUUUACCUGCUACGCCACAGCGCCAGACCUGGAGUGGGUUAAUCUUAUGACUGUGUGAGCGGGUUUGUUCUUGUGACUGAGUUUUGGCCCGUCUUGCCUCCUUGUCUCUCACCCUCUGUAGCCAUGUGCUGCCUUUGCCAUGCAUGAGCCUGGUCAGAUGCUAGCACCACUCUCUUGGAUUUCCCAGCCCUCAGGACUUUGAGCUAAAUAAACUCCUAUUGUUUAUAAAUGUCUCAGUCGUUGUUAUUCUGGUAUAGCAGCAGGAGACUGACAGACACUCCCCUAGUUCUCUGCUCCUCCUUCUUGGAUUCCACAGUGGUGUUUUUCAAGCCUCUAUUGUGGAUGGGCUCUUACUUUAUUUCUACUCUCCGCUUCCUCCCUAGACUGUUUCAUCCACUUUACUUUCGUGGCUUCAAUCAUUAUCCAUACACUGACAACUUGCAAAUAUUUUCCUCGAGCUCAGAACUUUUAUCUUGUUUUGCAAGCCCGUAUGUAUAUUGUACCAGUUUCGUGAUCUCUUAUCCAUUUGUUUAAUGGGUACUGAAAUUCGAGUAUAUUCCAGCCAUGCUUUAACUAUUGAGGACGCCAUAUUGAACAUAACAAGCUUGAUUUCUGCUCACACCAAGCUUACAUCCUGGGUGGAAUUAGAUUGGAGAGACAGAUGGAAACAGUUGAGUUGCAGGAUAAUUUCAGAGACUAAAAAGACAUUUGAAGAAAAUAAAACAAGGUAUGAGGAUGUGAAUAAGUCUUAUAGGUAGAAAAGAUUUUUCUGAGGAGAUAUCAUUUAGGUUUAAAUGUGAAUGAUGAGGCUGGCGCCGUGGCUCAGUAGGCUAAUCCUCCACCUAGCAGCGCCGGCACACCGGGUUCUAGUCCCAGACGGGGCGCCGGAUUCUGUCCCGGUUGCCCCUCUUCCAGGCCAGCUCUCUGCUGUGGCCAGGGAGUGCAGUGGAGGAUGGCCCAAGUGCUUGGGCCCUGCACCCCAUGGGAGACCAGGAGAAGCACCUGGCUCCUGGCUUCGGAUCAGCGCGGUGCACCGGCUGCAGCGCACCAGCCGCGGCAGCCAUUGGAGGGUGAACCAACGGCAAAGGAAGACCUUUCUCUCUGUCUCCCUCUCUCACUGUCCACUCUGCCUGUCAAAAAAAAGAUGUGAAUGAUAAGAACCAGUUGUGCAAAGUCCUGGACUAGAUUUGUCCAGGGCAAGGGAAGCAGGCUUAGAAUGCUUAGGAGGUAGCUCUGGUGGGGCACAGGAAGUGCUGGCUUGAACCAUUCCCCGAAGGUCAUGUGUUGGAAACGUAAUCCCCUAAUUCAGAUGUUUCUUGUGUUUGGAGGUGAGAACUUUACAAGGUGACUGAAAUGUGUUCUUCCGUUCAUGGAUUAAUGGGUUAGUGGCGUAUGAGGAAAUGGCUUUGUUAUGAAAGGAGCUCUCUCUGGCAGCUUGUCAUCUUGCCACCACGUGAUGCUCUCCAUCGUGUAAUGAUGCAGCAAGAAGGCCCUGGCCUGAUGCUGCGCGAAGGCCAAGGCCAUGUCUUAGACCUCCCAGCCUCUAGAACAAGGAGCUAAGUCAACCCCUUUGCUUUAGAAGUUAACCAAUUUCAGGUAUUUUAUGACAACAGAAAAUUGGCUAAGACUGCAAGCAAGAAGAGAAAUGGGAGAAGAGGUGGUGACAGUUGGAGAGGUCUUCUGUCUGCAUUCCAGCCUCAGAUGUCAGCCAGGCCAGGGGAAUCGCCCUUUCACACCCUCAGAGCACUUCAUUUGUAUUUCUCUUCUUGCCCUCAGCCCAGUUUGCUGUGCUGUGGUUUGUUGGUUAUGCAUUUUGUGAGUUCUUUUUGGAGGACCAAAUGACUACAGCUACUUCCGACUUCUGAGGUCACUAUGGGAGGUCUUAAAGAAACACUGGCAGAGACACAAGCAUUGGAACACAUGACAAUUGUUAUCUGCUUGUUUAUGAGAUUCACUGAAGAAUCUUCUUUCUCUGUACCCACCCAGAAAAUGAAAACACGGGGCUGGUGCUGUGGCACAGCCGGUUAACGACCUGGCCUGAAGUACUGGCAUCCCAUAUGGGUGCUGGUUCUAGUCCCGGUUGCUCCUAUUCUGAUCUAGCUUUCUGCUAUGGCCUGAGAUAGCAGUGGAAGAUGGCCCAGGGCCUUGAGUCCCUGCACCCCUGUGGGAGACCCGGAAGAAGCUCCUGGCUCCUGACUUUGGAUUGGCGCAGCUCUGGCCGUUGAGGCCAUCUGGGGAGUGAACCAGC